rnacentral:rRNA from 1 species
UACAGAGGGUGCGAGCGUUGUCCGGAAUCACUGGGCGUAAAGGGCGCGUAGGCGGCCUGAUAAGUAGGGGGUGAAAUCCUGUGGCUUAACUGCAGGGCUGCCUCCUAGACUGUUAGGCUCGAGCACGGUAGAGGCAGAUGGAAUUCCCGGUGUAGCGGUGGAAUGCGUAGAGAUCGGGAAGAACACCCGUGGCGAAGGCGACGUGCUGGGCUGAACCUGACGCUGAGAUGCGAAAGUGUGGGGAGCAAACGGG